CAGGUUUGAGUUGAGCGCAGCGAAACAACGGAGCCGCUCGCGGCGACGGCCCGAAGGGCGAGCGAAGCGAGUCAUCCUGCACGACCCACCA
rnacentral:sRNA from 3 species